rnacentral:rRNA from 1 species
UACGUAGGGUGCAAGCGUUGUCCGGAAUUAUUGGGCGUAAAGAGCUCGUAGGCGGUUUGUCGCGUCGAAUGUGAAAACCCGGGGCUCAACCCCGGGCCUGCAUUCGAUACGGGCAGACUAGAGUUCGGUAGGGGAGUCUGGAAUUCCUGGUGUAGCGGUGAAAUGCGCAGAUAUCAGGAGGAACACCGGUGGCGAAGGCGGGUCUCUGGGCAGUAACUGACGCUGAGGAGCGAAAGCGUGGGGAGCGAACAGGA